rnacentral:misc_RNA from 1 species
GGCAGGUUCGAACUUUGAAUUUGGAAUAUUGAAACUUUUUUUUUCACUGAGCCUUUUUAUUCUUCUAGAAAAUGAAAUUGGAAUAAAAAUCCUGGAAUGAUCCUAUUAUUUUUAUCCGAUUCUCGCCUUUACUUAUUCGAAAUUAGGUCUAGUAUCGAGUCUUCAAUUGAUUCUCGAAAAAUUUAAAAUCUAAAUUUGAAUAGUAAUCAUGAAAUGCGAUAUUGAGCUACUCAUUUCCAGAAUAUUUAUCCCUUUUUCAGGGGAAGCGAAUAAAUGAGGCAUGAACAACUUGAGAGUGAGAACUGAUGCAUUCUUAUCAGUGAUGGGAACAGCGACUGAAAUAGAGGGUUAACCAUUAUUUUUUUUUAAUUAUUUACUUGAGAAAUAGAUAGAGUUGGUCAUGUCCAACAUAAGGUAUCGAAUGGGAAGUGUGAUAAGUUAGCGGUGGAAAGAGUGAUAGGAGAAGGGGAGACAAAAAAAUGUUGUGAAGUG